AUUGAACGCUGGCGGCAGGCUUAACACAUGCAAGUCGAGCGAGCGGCGGACGGGUGAGUAAAGUAUGGGGCUCUGCCCGAUAGAGGGGGUUAACUACUGGAAACGGUGGCUAAUACAGCAUACUCUCGGCUGACCACAUAGGGGAGUAGCUAGUAGGUGGGGUAAAGGCUCACCUAGGCGACGAUCUCUAGCUGGUCUGAGAGGAUGAUCAGACACACUGGGACUGAGACACGUCCCAGACUCCUACGAGAGGCAGCAGUGGGGAAUAUUGCAGAAUGGGCGAAAGCCUGAUGCAGCCAUUCCGCGUGUAUGAAGAAGGCCUUAGGGUUGUAAAGUACUUUCAGCGGGGAGGCGUUACCCGCAGAAGAAGCACCGGCUAACUCCGUGCCAGCAGCCGCGGUAAUUC
rnacentral:rRNA from 1 species